AACGAACGCUGGCGGCGCGUCUUAAGCAUGCGGCGCAUUAGCUAGUUGGCGGGGUAACGGUCCACCAAGGCAACGAUGCGUAGGGGUUCUGAGAGGAAGGUCCCCCACACUGGAACUGAGACACGGUCCAGACUCCUACGGGAGGCAGCAGUGAGGAAUAUUGGUCAAUGGGCGCGAGCCUGAACCAGCCAAGUAGCGUGAAGGAUGACUGCCCUACGGGUUGUAAACUUCUUUUGUUCGGGAAUAAAGUGCAGUACGCGUACUGUUUUGUAUGUACCGUUCGAAUAAGCAUCGGCUAAUUCCGUG
rnacentral:rRNA from 1 species